rnacentral:tRNA from 1 species
ACCCAGGUGGCUUAAUGGUAAAGAAUCCACCUGCAAUGCAGGAGACCCAGGUUCGAUCCCUGGGUUGGGAA